GACGAACGCGGGCGGGCGUGCUUAACACAUGCAAGUCGAACGAAGAGCGAUGGAAGCUUGCUUCUAUCAAUCUUAGUGGCGAACGGGUGAGUAACGCGUAAUCAACCUGCCCUUCAGAGGGGGACAACAGUUGGAAACGACUGCUAAUACCGCAUACGAUCUAAUCUCGGCAUCGAGGAUAGAUGAAAGGUGGCCUCUACAUGUAAGCUAUCACGAAGGAGGGGAUUGCGUCUGAUUAGCUAGUUGGAGGGGUAACGGCCCACCAAGGCGAUGAUCAGUAGCCGGUCUGAGAGGAUGAACGGCCACAUUGGGAUGAGACACGGCCCAGACUCCUACGGGAGGCAGCAGUGGGGAAUCUUCCGCAAUGGACGAAAGUCUGACGGAGCAACGCCGCGUGAGUGAUGACGGCCUUCGGGUUGUAAAGCUCUGUUAAUCGGGACGAAAGGCCUUCCU
rnacentral:rRNA from 1 species